rnacentral:rRNA from 1 species
AGCUUCGGCCAUCCGGCGAGGGAUGGGCCCGCGGUGCAUUAGCUAGUUGGUGGGGUAACGGCUCACCAAGGCAACGAUACAUAGCUGGUCUGAGAGGAUGAUCAGCCACACUGGGACUGAGACACGGCCCAGACUCCUACGGGAGGCAGCAGCCAGGAAUCUUGGGCAAUGGGCGAAAGCCUGACCCAGCAACACCGUGUGGGCGAUGAAGGCCUUAGGGUCGUAAAGCCCUGUUGAUAGGGACGAAGGGCGAAGGGUUAAUAGCCC